UACGUAGGAGGCGAGCGUUGUCCGGAAUUACUGGGCGUAAAGGGCGCGUAGGCGGCCGAUCAAGUCAGAUGUGAAAGUCCUGGGCUUAACCUGGGGACUGCAUUUGAUACUGAUUGGCUUGAAUGCAGGAGAGGAUAGCGGAAUUCCCAGUGUAGAGGUGAAAUUCGUAGAUAUUGGGAAGAACACCGGUGGCGAAGGCGGCUAUCUGGACUGUGAUUGACGCUGAGGCGCGAAAGCCAGGGGAGCAAACGGG
rnacentral:rRNA from 1 species